rnacentral:rRNA from 1 species
AGUGCGAAUGCUGACAUGAGUAGCGAUAAAGAGGGUGAGAUGCCCUCUCGCCGAAAGACCAAGGGUUCCUGCGCAACGCUAAUCGGCGCAGGGUUAGUCGGCCCCUAAGGUGAGGCUGAAGAGCGUAAUCGAUGGGAAACGGGUUAACAUUCCCGUACUUGUUGUAACUGCGAUGGAGAGACGGAGAAGGCUAGGCCAGCGCGGCGAUGGUUGUCCGCGUUUA